rnacentral:rRNA from 1 species
AUUGAACGCUGGCGGCAGGCCUAACACAUGCAAGUCGAACGAGUGGCGGACGGGUGAGUAAUGUCUGGGAAACUGCCUGAUGGAGGGGGAUAACUACUGGAAACGGUAGCUAAUACCGCAUACCAUCAGAUGUACCCAGAUGGGAUUAGCUAGUUGGUGGGGUAACGGCUCACCAAGGCGACGAUCCCUAGCUGGUCUGAGAGGAUGAACAGCCACAAUGGAACUGAGACACGGUCCAUACCCCUACGGUAGGCAGCAGUGGGGAAUAUUGCACAAUGGGCGAAAGCCUGAUGCAGCCAUGCCGCGUGUAUGAAGAAGGCCUUCGGGUUGUAAAGUACUUUCAGCGGGGAGGCGUUACCGAAAGAAGAAGCACCGGCUAACUCCGUGCCAGCAGCCGCGGUAAUAC